GUGGGGAAUUUUGGACAAUGGGCGAAAGCCUGAUCCAGCCAUUCCGCGUGCAGGAUGAAGGCCCUCGGGUUGUAAACUGCUUUUGUACAGAACGAAAAAGCUCUGGCUAAUACCUGGAGUCCAUGACGGUACUGUAAGAAUAAGCACCGGCUAACUACGUGCCAGCAGCCGCGGUAAUACGUAGGGUGCAAGCGUUAAUCGGAAUUACUGGGCGUAAAGCGUGCGCAGGCGGUUUUGUAAGACAGAGGUGAAAUCCCCGGGCUCAACCUGGGAACUGCCUUUGUGACUGCAAGGCUGGAGUGCGGCAGAGGGGGAUGGAAUUCCGCGUGUAGCAGUGAAAUGCGUAGAUAUGCGGAGGAACACCGAUGGCGAAGGCAAUCCCCUGGGCCUGCACUGACGCUCAUGCACGAAAGCGUGGGGAGCAAACAGGAUUAGAUACCCUAGUAGUCC
rnacentral:rRNA from 1 species